GAUGAACGCUAGCUACAGGCUUAACACAUGCAAGUCGAGGGACCGGCGCACGGGUGAGUAACACGUAUCCAACCUGCCCUUUACUCGGGGAUAGCCUUUCGAAAGAAAGAUUAAUACCCGAUAUAAAGGAUGGGGAUGCGUUCCAUUAGGUUGUUGGUGAGGUAACGGCCCACCAAGCCUUCGAUGGAUAGGGGUUCUGAGAGGAAGGUCCCCGACAUGUUAACUGAGACACCGUCCAAACUCCUACGGGAGGAAGCAGUGAGGAAUAUUGGUCAAUGGGCGUUAGCCUGAACCAGCCAAUUAGCGUGAAGGAUGAAGGCUGAUGGGUCGUAAACUUCUUUUAUAUAAGAAUAUGUAUUAUAUGAAUAAGGAUCGGCUAACUCCGGGCCAGCAGCCGCGGUAAUUC
rnacentral:rRNA from 1 species